rnacentral:lncRNA from 1 species
CAAAUACUUUGAGUUCUUGGAAGCCACUGCCAACUGUGCCUGCUGGAAGUUAAAUUUUCAAUAGCUUGGCAUGAUUGAUGCAGGCAUUAGUCAUUAAAAAAAAAACAAAAACAAAACUUGAACUAAGUAAUUUGCAUCCAAAGGAUGACAUCAGUUAACACCAUGAGCUUGUGGUUUUAGAAAAUAACCACUAGAUGGCGCGCGUGCAAUUCAAAAAUUAAAGGAAACCUCCGUCAGUAAGGUACAAGCGCUUUACCAAAGAAUCCAUUGUACUUGCAAACCUGAGUCUACGCAAGCAAGAAGGAACCACUUGCCCCGAAGGUGUGUCAACAAGAUGAAGCACAGAAGAGUCUAUUCAUGGCUAGGGUGUCCUGGCUGCAGCCCCAGAACCUAAGAACCCGGAGCUCUAUUCCCA